rnacentral:rRNA from 1 species
GAUGAACGCUGGCGGCGUGCCUAAUACAUGCAAGUCGAGCGAACAGAUAAGGAGCUUGCUCCUUUGACGUUAGCGGCGGACGGGUGAGUAACACGUGGAUAACCUACCUAUAAGACUGGGAUAACUUCGGGAAACCGGAGCUAAUACCGGAUAACAUAUUGAACCGCAUGGUUCAAUAGUGAAAGGCGGCCUUGCUGUCACUUAUAGAUGGAUCCGCGCCGUAUUAGCUAGUUGGUAAGGUAACGGCUUACCAAGGCAACGAUACGUAGCCGACCUGAGAGGGUGAUCGGCCACACUGGAACUGAGACACGGUCCAGACUCCUACGGGAGGCAGCAGUAGGGAAUCUUCCGCAAUGGGCGAAAGCCUGACGGAGCAACGCCGCGUGAGUGAUGAAGGUCUUCGGAUCGUAAAACUCUGUUAUCAGGGAAGAACAAAUGUGUAAGUAACUGUGCACAUCUUGACGGUACCUGAUCAGAAAGCCACGGCUAACUACGUG